rnacentral:misc_RNA from 1 species
AACACUGUUAACCUGCGGUACCUGCGGAGGGAUCAUUACAAGUUUUUAAAAGUGUUGAAAGGUGUGAGGGGGUCUCUCCCUUCCCCUUUCUUACAUUUACGCGUGUUGUGUUUGACAGAGUUAUUUUUUUAAUUUACUCUAUACAACUUUCAACAAUGGAUCU